rnacentral:rRNA from 1 species
UACGUAGGGACCAAGCGUUGUUCGGAUUUACUGGGCGUAAAGGGCGCGUAGGCGGCAAUUCAAGUCAUCUGUGAAAUCUCCGGGCUUAACUCGGAACGGUCAGGUGAUACUGCUUUGCUAGAGUACAGAAGGGGCAAUCGGAAUUCUUGGUGUAGCGGUGAAAUGCGUAGAUAUCAAGAGGAACACCUGAGGUGAAGACGGGUUGCUGGGCUGAUACUGACGUGAGGCGCGAAAGCUAGGGUAGCAAACGGG